rnacentral:rRNA from 1 species
GACGAAGGUGGCGAGCGUUGUUCGGAAUCACUGGGCUUAAAGCGCGUGUAGGCGGCCCGGCACGUCCGUCGCUGAAAUCCCCCGGCUCAACCGGGGAAGGGGCGCGGAUACGACCGGGCUGGAGGGGGGUAGGGGGAGCCGGAACUUCCGGUGGAGCGGUGAAAUGCGUUGAUAUCGGGAGGAACUCCGGCGGCGAAAGCGGUGCACUGGUGGAUUACUGACGCUGAGGUGCGAAAGCCAGGGGAGCAAACGGG